CUCGGUCCAGCAUCGGGCCCCCAGCCGGAGGCAGCUCCGGAGGGUGUCACCACAGCACAGGGCCUGGCCCGGCGCCGCGGCCCCUCCGCCCGCAGUGGUUCAGCCCGGCAGAUCCGGGGCCGCCUCAGGGCGCCGCCCCCGCCGCGGCCGCGCAGCCGCCAGGUAAGGCCGGGCCGGGCCCCAGCGGGCUGCGCUGGGCCGGGGGUGCCGCGGGGUCUCGGACGGGGCUGCGCCGCCGCCAGGUGGAACCAGGUGUGCAACCACUGGGACCUGCAUCUGAAGGACAUGAAAAUUUCCCUCCCAAAAAUGCAGUAACAAACCAGGAGAGCAGCAAAGAGAUACAGCAGCUGGAAGCUGAACUCAAGAAAAAGCGAAAAAAAUGUGAAAACCUUGAGCAUGAAGUGAGGAAAAAGCAUAAAAGAUGCAAAGAACUAGUAAGUGUUCUUGUUGCCUAGUUUAUGAGCGUAAUGAGAGAAGAGGAGCUAAGUUGUUGUGUGCCUCUCUAGGAUUCUCUUCAGUUCAUAUUAAUAAGGAAUCACCAAUGUUUCUGUUCAUUUGAACAGUGUCACAAAUCUGG
rnacentral:lncRNA from 1 species